rnacentral:rRNA from 1 species
AGUGAACGCUGGCGGUAGGCCUAACACAUGCAAGUCGAACGGCAGCACAGUAAGAGCUUGCUCUUACGAGUGGCGAGUGGCGGACGGGUGAGGAAUACAUCGGAAUCUACUUUUUCGUGGGGGAUAACGUAGGGAAACUUACGCUAAUACCGCAUACGACCUACGGGUGAAAGCAGGGGAUCUUCGGACCUUGCGCGAUUGAAUGAGCCGAUGUCGGAUUAGCUAGUUGGCGGGGUAAAGGCCCACCAAGGCGACGAUCCGUAGCUGGUCUGAGAGGAUGAUCAGCCACACUGGAACUGAGACACGGUCCAGACUCCUACGGGAGGCAGCAGUGGGGAAUAUUGGACAAUGGGCGCAAGCCUGAUCCAGCCAUACCGCGUGGGUGAAGAAGGCCUUCGGGUUGUAAAGCCCUUUUGUUGGGAAAGAAAAGCAGCAGGUUAAUACCCCGCUGUUCUGACGGUACCCAUAGAAUAAGCACCGGCUAACUUCGUG